GAUGAAGAACGCAGCGAAAUGCGAUAAGUAGUGUGAAUUGCAGAAUUCCGUGAAUCAUCGAAUCUUUGAACGCACAUUGCGCCUUCUGGUAUUCCGGAAGGCAUGCCUGUUCGAGAGUCAUUAACAACCGUUUCGAUCCCUUUCUUUCAGAAAUUACAAAGAGGUAAAGGGUUUGGUUAUGGUGGAGGAGGGAAAGGGAGCGUUUAGCCUGUAAAAAAAGAGGCUGUGUUCCGCCUCCCCCCCAAAAUUGUACAGGCGGUCGUGUGCGCCCACGCAUCGAGGUGUUGUAAAAGCUGCCACGGCACUUUUCACCUGUGCAGUGCGAGAUUGGCCAGCCGGUUUAAAAACCCCUCCAAACAAUCAAAGGUUGACCUCGGAUCAGGUAGGGAUACCCGCUGAACUUAAGCAUAUCAAUAAGCGGAGGA
rnacentral:misc_RNA from 1 species